rnacentral:rRNA from 1 species
CCUACGGGUGGCAGCAGUGAGGAAUAUUGGUCAAUGGACGGAAGUCUGAACCAGCCAUGCCGCGUGCAGGAAGACUGCCCUAUGAGUUGUAAACUGCUUUUGUAUAAGGGUAAACUUGUCUACGUGUGUGCUGUUGUAAGUACUGUAUGAAUAAGGAUCGGCUAACUCCGUGCCAGCAGCCGCGGUAAUACGGAGGAUCCAAGCGUUAUCCGGAUUUAUUGGGUUUAAAGGGUGCGUAGGCGGAUUGAUAAGUCAGUUGUGAAAUGUUCGGGCUUAACCCGAGAAUUGCCGCUAAUACUGUUAGUCUAGAGAACAGAAGCGGUAGGCGGAAUGUGUGGUGUAGCGGUGAAAUGCUUAGAGAUCAUACAGAACACCGAUUGCGAAGGCAGCUUACCAAUCUAUAUCUGACAUUGAGGCACGAAAGCGUGGGGAGCAAACAGGAUUAGAUACCCUUGUAGUC